UGGGGAAUAUUGGACAAUGGGGGCAACCCUGAUCCAGCAAUGCCGCGUGUGUGAAGAAGGCCUUCGGGUUGUAAAGCACUUUUAUCCGGAACGAAACGCGCUCGGUGAACAGCCGGGUGAACUGACGGUACCGGAGGAAUAAGCACCGGCUAACUUCGUGCCAGCAGCCGCGGUAAUACGAAGGGUGCAAGCGUUACUCGGAAUUACUGGGCGUAAAGCGUGCGUAGGUGGUUUGUUAAGUCUGCUGUGAAAUCCCCGGGCUCAACCUGGGAAUGGCAGUGGAUACUGGCAAGCUAGAGUGCGGUAGAGGGGUGUGGAAUUCCCGGUGUAGCGGUGAAAUGCGUAGAGAUCGGGAGGAACACCAGUGGCGAAGGCGGCACCCUGGACCAGCACUGACACUCAGGCACGAAAGCGUGGGGAGCAAACAGGAUUAGAUACCCCCGUAGUCC
rnacentral:rRNA from 1 species